rnacentral:lncRNA from 1 species
CCCUAUUUCGGGCUUGGCCGGAGCAACCUUGCACCGGCCGGCCUCCGGCGGCACGGCGGCGCGCGCGGGGCCCUGAGUCGGGUGAGGGGGAGGUGAGGAACACCGUGCUCACCUCAGUUGGCGACUGGAAGCGGCGGCGGCAGCUGUGGAACGAACCGAGCCCGCACGGCUAGGGCACGGGUUCCACGGGCAAAGGCGGCCACGGCGGCGGCCGGGGCCGGUCGGGGACGGCGGAGGAGAGUCGCCAGAGGUCGGAGGGGUUACCACGGGGUGGCCCAAGGUGGCGGCGGCGCUGGGAAGAGGUCGCACCCAGACCUCGGCCCGAGCAGGUCUGGGCGACGCGGGUUGGCCGAGACCGCGGCGGCGGCGUGCCGGGACGACGGCGACGGCAAGCGGGGGUUGCCGGGGCUCCGGGGAAGGCUGCUGAAGGGGGUCACAGGCGGCGGCGGCGCACGGGGAGGGAGCUGGGGCUACCUCGGCCAGAGCUCGGCCAAGCCGGCUGCAAAGAGCAGCGGCGGCCGCAGCGGCGCGAGGAGGCGGCGGCGGUCGGCGGGGAGGCUCUCCGGGGCUCCGGGAAGUCGGUAGGGGUGGUCCACGGUGGCAGCGGCGCAGAGGGAAGGGCUGCAAGCUUGCCUCGGCCUGGCUCGGUCUGGGAAGCUGCAGGCGGCUGGAGCGGCUGCGGCGGCGCAGGCGAUGGCGGCGGUCGGCGGGGACGAUCGCCGGAGCACGGGGUGACACCGAGGGAGGGUCCGAAGGUGGCGGCAGUCUCGGGUCUCCUCACAACCCGAGGGGAGAGAGGGAGAGAGAAAGAGAGGGAGAGAGAGAGAAGUGGUGGCUCGGCGGCGGCCGGGGCUCAGCCGGCGGCGGCCGGGGGUGGUGCAGCAAGGGCAAGGGGAAGGGUGAAGGUGGCUGAGGCGACUAAGGUAGCUGGGGGCUGGCUAGGG